UGAAACCCCAGUGGGCAUGUGUUACAGUA
rnacentral:piRNA from 1 species